GACCAGCUACCCGCGACCGCAACUCUAGCCUCUAGAGCUCUCCCCUAGCGACGCCAAUCCUAGCCUCAGGAGCUCUUCCCUGAGACCCGGCUCCAUCGUCUUCUGUGACAUCGUCCCCUUCUCCUCGAUAAGAGUGCAAAGUGGAAGCAAUGCAUGAAGUCGACAUGAAGAAGAAAAAUGCAACGAACUGUAUCUAGUGCAGUUUAAUUGGUGUUACUUGAUGUUGGUGUUUCGUUGCAUUACAGUUUUAUGUUAUAUUGACUAUCUGUUUGCGUGAAUGGAGAUGACAUUGAUGGAUGGAUUAGCUUCGUUACAUAUUAGAUGGUAUUCAAAUUAAACUUUGUGUGAAUCAUAUUUGUUUGUGUGAAUGGAGACCAAUCUGUUUCUGUGAUGUU
rnacentral:lncRNA from 7 species